UGUGGCCCCGAUCGAAGCUGCAGCUGUUUCCACCCAGCCGCCCGUGGUCAGAAAGGAGGAGCCGGCGUGACUGUUUUCCUGGACGGUCCCGGUUCUGUUUGCUGUAACAGAUCUGUGGCGUUUUGGGAAAAGACAGUC
ensembl:snoRNA